rnacentral:lncRNA from 1 species
GGUGUUUCUAGGAGGUUUUUGGGGGUAUGUUUAGAGUUAUGUUCUUGUUGUUUGGUGCCUCAUUUGAGUCCACCUGUGUAGGUUCGGACCCGAGGACCCGAGACCCCCGGUUGUGAGAUAGUCUUUCAGAGUCCGUCGUUAAAGCUUCGGUCACCAGGUGAGUGGGAUUUUUUCCCUAAGUUUUUAAGUAAUGAAUAAAUGAACAAAUGAAUGAAUCUGAUAGCAUACUCAUGCAUCAUUAAUGCCAUGCGAUGUUUCAGGAUGUUUGCAUUAGAAAUUCACGAAUAUGUUGCAUUGCAUAUUUUGAUGUUGAUGUAGAUGGUUAUUGGGUGAUCCAUAGUCCUCUAAUGUUAUGUUAUGAUGAUAUGUUAUGGAAGACCAGUGAGGCCCAUUCUACGCCCCUGGCACUAUGUAAGAGAAAGACCAGUGAGGCCCAUUCUACGCCCCUGACACUUUGGAAUGUUAUGUUACGUAUGUUAUGUAAGAGAAAGACCAGCGAGGCCCAUUCUACGCCCCUGGCACUUGGAGAUGUGAGGACUAAUGGUGACAAUACCAUCCUUUAUGUGAUUAAAUGUGAUGUGUUGCAUUUCAUGAAAGCAUGUAAAGUAAAAAGUUAUGUUAUUUAAUGUUAUUAAUAAAAUGAAUAAUAAUAUACCUAAAAAGUGUGGAAUUAAAGCAAAUGUUAAUAAUAAAAUGAAGAAUAAAAUACCUAAAAAUGGAGGAAUUAAUAUCAUGUU